rnacentral:rRNA from 1 species
CCUACGGGUGGCAGCAGUCGAGAAUCAUUCACAAUGGUGGAAACCCUGAUGGUGCGACGCCGCGUGGGGGAAUGAAGGUCUUCGGAUUGUAAACCCCUGUCAUGUGGGAGCAAAUUAAAAAGAUAGUACCACAAGAGGAAGAGACGGCUAACUCUGUGCCAGCAGCCGCGGUAAUACAGAGGUCUCAAGCGUUGUUCGGAAUCACUGGGCGUAAAGCGUGCGUAGGCUGUUUCGUAAGUCGUGUGUGAAAGGCGCGGGCUCAACCCGCGGACGGCACAUGAUACUGCGAGACUAGAGUAAGGGAGGGGGAACCGGAAUUCUCGGUGUAGCAGUGAAAUGCGUAGAUAUCGAGAGGAACACUCGUGGCGAAGGCGGGUUCCUGGACAUUAACUGACGCUGAGGCACGAAGGCCAGGGGAGCGAAAGGGAUUAGAUACCCCUGUAGUC